rnacentral:rRNA from 1 species
GAUGAACGCUGGCGGCGUGCCUAAUACAUGCAAGUCGAGCGAACAGAUGAGGAGCUUGCUCCUCUGACGUUAGCGGCGGACGGGUGAGUAACACGUGGAUAACCUACCUAUAAGCCUGGGAUAACUUCGGGAAACCGGAGCUAAUACCGGAUAAUAUAUUUAAACGCAUGGUUCAAUAGUGAAAGACGGUUUUGCUGUAACUUAUGGAUGGAUCCGCGCCGCAUUAGCUAGUUGGUAAGGUAACGGCUUACCAAGGCAACGAUGCGUAGCCGACCUGAGAGGGGGACCGCCCACACUGGAACUGAGACACGGUCCAGACUCCUACGGGAGGCAGCAGUAGGGAAUCUUCCGCAAUGGGCGAAAGCCUGACGGAGCAACGCCGCGUGAGGGAUGAAGGUCUUCGGAUCGUAAAACUCUGUUAUUAGGGAAGAACAAAUUUGUAAGUAACUAUGCACGUCGUGACGGUACCUAAUCAGAAAGCCACGGCUAACUACGUG